CAGUAGCCGCGGGAAUACGUAGGUGGCAAGCGUUGUCCGGAAUUAUUGGGCGUAAAGGGCUCGCAGGCGGUUUCUUAAGUCUGAUGUGAAAGCCCCCGGCUCAACCGGGGAGGGUCAUUGGAGACUGGGAAACUUGAGUGCAGAAGAGGAGAGUGGAAUUCCACGUGUAGCGGUGAAAUGCGUAGAGAUGUGGAGGAACACCAGUGGCGAAGGCGACUCUCUGGUCUGUAACUAACGCUGAGGAGCGAAAGCGUGGGGAGCGAACAGGAUUAGAUACCCGCGUAGUCCCUGUCUCUUAUAA
rnacentral:rRNA from 1 species